rnacentral:misc_RNA from 1 species
AAAAAGUCCAACUAUUUGCAGCAAAAGGGUAAAUUCAAUAGUCAAACAGCUCUAGACUGGGAUUAUGGAGAAACAAAGAAAUCAAAGACAAUUGGAAAGAUGACCUUAAAUCCCUGGUAGUUUUGGAAGCCCUUGGAUAGCAGAUGAAGAUGUUAGGUAUGGCCUGUGAAUGCCCUGAUAGCAAUUGUUCUGUUUCUUCCCCUAGAUAACUGAUAGAACAAACCAAUACAGAACUCUUGAUUGGCAACUUCUGUGAAUGCCUGUUACAUUUGAAACUGCCAUAUUAUAGGUUGUUUACCUCUGAAAAGAAAGGGUUAGGCCCAAAAUCUAAUAUCAGAAAAUCUAAUAUCAGAUCAUUUCAGGCGCACUUCAUGCGGAUAUGUACUGUUUUUAUUGCAUUCCAGGAAAUCUCGCGCUUAGCAUGCCACUUGAGAAAUCAAGGUGACACCCAUAGUAGUCAUAUCAUUUUAGUGGACGAACAGCAGAACAACAGGGCACCAGAUUCGAAUGCCGGCUGUACCAAUGCCAAUCAAGCACAAAACAACCUGAGCUAUCAAAAUCCAUCCCAAACCGGGGAACACCAAGCACCCAAAAGAACGG